GAAAGACACGUUGAAUAUUUGUCUUGCUUAAGCUAGCUAAAGCUAUUGUUAGCUUGUCAGAAAUGUUUGACCCAUAGACGACUAGCCGCCAUUAUACUUACUGAGACUAAAGUGCGCUGGCAAAUAAUUUUAGCAUGUGUAUCAGAUUGAACAUAAAAAAAUGUAUAAACAGUUUAGGUGUUCUGAACCGAGAUGUCCCAUACAUGUUGGAAAUGUCUUUGAACGUAUGCAUUUUUUCUUAUAUCAGGUAUUUCUCAGUAUAUCAUUUAUUUAUUUAUUUAUUUUUAAUUAUAUGCAUAUCAUAUGUAAUUGACAUUUAGCCCACAUUUCUCUUUUAUAUGAAUUAGGUUUCUGUCUAUGCAUACAAAAUCUCAUCUAAACGAUUUGUCUAAUUAUGAUCUCUGUUUUUAAGAUGCAUAUUACAAUUCAACAAGGGCGAAUGGUGCCUGAACUGGUCUGUUGCCAGACAUGUUGCAGGCAGUACCUCUGCCCAUUCUGCUCGUCAGAGUUGUGUAAGCCUACCAGUUUGAGGAACACUCAAAUUCAUCUGGACCAUCAUUUUAACCGUGCUGUCAGCCAUGAAGGUAUGUUGGCAAACAUUAUCCUGGGAUAUGUGUACAGUAUGUAGUUAUCGAGUUGCUACUACCACUUCAUUAUCCAACAAUUAAUCAAAUAGGCCCCGUCGGCCUCCACAGCAGCCCCGUCGGCCUCCACCCCAGCCUCACCGGUCUUCACAGCAGCCCUGUCGGCCUCCACCCCAGCCCUGCCGGCCUCCCUUGCCCCAGGUGGAGCGUUGAAAAAGGUCUGCAUGAGGCCAGUGCUGAAAAAACAAUGCCCAAUAUGCCAGCUUUCGAUGAACAUUGGAAAUGUGAAGAAGCACAUUGAAAGAAGGCACACCAAAAAAAAGAUGGACAUAACCGCUACCUACCACCUACGUACUACGACCAAGCUGAUAAUGGAGGAAAUACAGUAUUCCCGCAGCUGCAGCAUGGAGACCAGAUGUGGUCAUGUCUGCAAAUGCACAUGUUUGGGGAAACAAUAUAACUACUUUUAGUGGCUCUUUGGUCACCCAAAGCUGAAAAAAACUGUUCCUCAUAACACAUACAGCUUUGUAAGGUUAUCAUUAAUGUUAUAAUCUUCAAGCUUAGGUUCUUCUUCUAAAGUGAAUCAUGCUCAUCUCAGGUGCUUUGAGAUUUAACUGUUUUUUUCUUUGUUUAUAGACCCUAUAGGAGUCUAUUGGGAGUGCGGUUUUUCCUCAACACUCAGUGAACAAUCACGCCCUCUUGAGGCUAACUCCUUUUCAUUCUUAUCAAACACCCUUUUUUUAAAACAUUACUUUUUAAAUAAACUCAAUAUUUUACUUA